GGAGGGGUGGCAGAGCGGUUGAAUGCGGCAGUCUCGAAAACUGUUUUACCUUUUUAAGGGUAACGAGGGUUCGAAUCCCUCCUCCUCCG
rnacentral:tRNA from 1 species